GGUGGCAUAGUUCAACUGGUAGAGUGCAUGCUUAGCAUGCAAGAGGUCCUGGGUUCGAUCCUCAGUACUGCCA
rnacentral:tRNA from 1 species